rnacentral:lncRNA from 1 species
GGCUGAUGCUGCUGGUUGGGUGGAUGUGGAUAAAGAAACUCUGCAACACAGGAGGUACCCAAAUGUGUUUGGGAUUGGGGACUGCACCAACCUUCCUACGUCAAAGACCGCUGCUGCAGUAGCUGCCCAGUCAGGAAUACUUGAUAGGACAAUUUCUGUAAUUAUGAAGAAUCAAACACCAACAAAGAAGUCUGAUUUACAAUUUUAGUAUGAUGGCUACACAUCAUGUCCACUGGUGACCGGCUACAACCGUGUGAUUCUUGCUGAGUUUGACUACAAAGCAGAGCCGCUAGAAACCUUCCCCUUUGAUCAAAGCAAAGAGCGCCUUUCCAUGUAUCUCAUGAAAGCUGACCUGAUGCCUUUCCUGUAUUGGAAUAUGAUGCUAAGGGGUUACUGGGGAGGACCAGCGUUUCUGCGCAAGUUGUUUCAUCUAGGUAUGAGUUAAGGAUGGCUCAGCACUUGCUCAUCUUGGAUGGCUUCUGGGCCAAAACUGCAGUCACUGAAUGACCAAGAGCAGCACGAAGGACUUGGAACCUAUCCUUGUAAAGAGUUCCUUGAUGGGUAAUGGUGACCAAAUGCCUCCCUUUUCAGUACCUUUGAACAGCAACCAUGUGGGCUACUCAUGAUGGGCUUGAUUCUUUGGGAAUAAUAAAAUGAAAUAAUACUUUUAUUUUCUGAAUAAAAGUUUGUCACUGAU